UCUAAUAGUGCAAUUAAAAUUUUUUGGAUUAUAGAUUAAAUUAUAAUUUUAUUAAAUCUGGUGUUUGGGGGUGAAAUUUAAAUAUCAAUUUAAUUUUUUUUUUGUUUUGAGGUCACUAAAUUAAUUAAAAAACUAGGAUUAGAUACCCUAUUAUUAAAACUUAAUUUUAUUUCCUUAUGAUUAAUAGUUAUGUUCUUUAAAGUAAAAAAAUUUGGCGGUAUUUUAGUCUAUUCAGAGGAACCUGUUCUAUAAUUGAUGAUCCACGAUUAUUUAAACUUAAUUUUUAAUUUUACAUAUCGUUGUUUAAAACAUUCUCUUAGGAUAUGUUUUUUAAUUUUUUAAAAAUAUAAUUCAGAUCAAGGUGUAGUUUAUAAUUAAGCAGAAAUGGGUUACAUUGAUUUUAAUUUAGGAUUUUAAAUUUUGAAAAAGAAUGAAUUUGGAUUUGAUAGUAAAUUUUAAUAUAUAUUAAUUUUGAUUUUAGCUCUAGAAU
rnacentral:rRNA from 1 species